UGGGGAAUCUUGGACAAUGGGGGAAACCCUGAUCCAGCGAUGCCGCGUGUGUGAAGAAGGCCUUAGGGUUGUAAAGCACUUUAAUGAGGGAGGAUUAGGAUGCGUUGAAUAGACGUGUCUGAGGACGUUACCUCAAGAAUAAGCACCGGCUAACUCUGUGCCAGCAGCCGCGGUAAUACAGAGGGUGCGAGCGUUAAUCGGAUUUACUGGGCGUAAAGGGCGCGUAGGCGGCGUGGUAAGUCAUCUGUGAAAUCUCCGAGCUUAACUCGGAACGGUCAGAUGAUACUGCUGUGCUAGAGUACAGAAAGGGCAAUCGGAAUUCUUGGUGUAGCGGUGAAAUGCGUAGAUAUCAAGAGGAACACCUGAGGCGAAGGCGGGUUGCUAGGCUGAUACUGACGCUGAGGCGCGAAAGCUAGGGUAGCAAACGGGAUUAGAUACCCCCGUAGUCCCUGAGCGGGCUGGCAAGGCGCAU
rnacentral:rRNA from 1 species